ensembl:lincRNA
GGGUGUUCAAAAGUUCUGCCAUAUUUAUCAAUGUAAUAGAUAUUUUAAUGGGAAUAUGGACUGACACACCCUACUGUUUGCAGAGAGAGAGUCAAGAGGUACCCUCAGUUGAUGAGACUGUUCCACGAAUUAGACCAGUAGAUGGGUUCUCUGUGAGCAGCAUGGAGAUUGGUGGGAUUUGCCGUCGCCUCAUCAAUAUAGAAAGAACGAGCAGCUUACAAUCUGACAGCAGUGGCUUUGCUGAAGAUCCAUGCUCACAGGAUGGAGUUCUGAGCUCACAAUGUAUGGGCAGCAGCGUGGACAGCAGUGACAGCCAGCACACUCUCAGUGAUUCACAGUCGAGAGUAUUAUUCCGACCCACAUCUCCAGAGCCUAAUCCAUCACAGCCUAUAUAUUUGCCAUCGAUCUCUACGCCGAACCAAAACCAUCCUGUAAGUUCUCCCCAGCAAGAAGAUUGCACACCAGUAGAAUUGUCUGUGGUCAAAUCCACCAGCGAAACCGAAUACCCUCCAAAGGGUACAGCGGACAGCAGGAUCGCCAAAAAUAUGCCCAUUCCAUCAUCGAACCAUCUGGGCAUCUAUGCUUCGAUCACUUCCACAUCCUACAUUCCCACCUCUGUGCGAGAAAAAAUAGCGAAAGCUUUUGAUAGGGCCACUCAACAAGAUGGGAACCAGCAUCAUGCACCUUGUGAGAAUGGAGUAAACAUAACAAUCGACCCGACAACCCACACUUUUGAAAAUGUACGACAAACCAACACAAACUUUACCCAUCCUUUAGGCCUCGAUGCGAACCUACCAUCUAAUCCUGUUCUUCAGCAUACUAAUGGAAGGAGUAUCCAGUACCUUGGAGGAUGCCCCAUCUCAGUGUGCCGUGAUGAAAGGCAAAUUUGAGAAGAAUCUUCAGCAUCCCAUACAUGGAACUGUGGUCUCUGAUGUUCCACAAUAUGGCAAAAACAUGCCUGACAAUGAGAGAGAUUAUUCACAUUUGCAUGCACAUGGGGCCCAGCAACACAAAGAACUGCACACCUACAAGACACAACUUUUUGUCGAGCUUCAAAAACCAAAAAUGGCUGCAAGCAAAGUGCCCAGUUGCACUUCCUACCAUCGCCAUUGCUGCUGUCACUGCCACAGCUGCAGUUAUUGUUGUGAUGAUUAUUGGCGAGUUGAUGACAAUGAGAAUCACCGCAUGGGAAGAGUUGCACCACCACGUGUCUCUGUUGACUGUGUUGAGGAGCAGCCAUCAGGCCGACACGAUGUCCAUGCCUUUGAUGGCCUCAAAAAAUCUAAAGUGCAUCAUAGAACAAAUAACGGUGCUCGGUGCUCGGUGGAAUCGCAACCGGGGAAUGUUUCUCCAACAGUCAGUGACGUCAUGCAGAACAUCCAGAAAACUAUUGGAAGGGUCAACCUGUCUAUGGGAUUGCUCUCUGAGGUUGUGCAGUGUGAACCAGAUAGUGCAAGAUCACGAAGAGUCAUGAACUUGGAGCUUGCACUGAGUGACACAAUGAGUGCUAUCGAGAGUGCUCACAUCCUACAAGUCGAACUGAGUGGCAUGCAGGCCCAUAUGGAGCAACAGGAAGAGUCAGCCAUACCUCUGCUGGGCAGUGAGGAAUUCAAGGAACUGGCACUUCUACGUGAGCUUGUACGGAGAGAGCUACAUGAGGUCCAGAUGGCGAUGCAGGAACGGACAUCGAUCUUGCAGUUCCACUUUCAGGAGCACAAGGAUGGAAGAGGGUUUCGAGGCCCCGAUUCGGAGGAGAACACCAAGAGUUUAAACCUGCAGCAGUUGAUUCUUGAGCUGCUUGCAAAGCAGCUCAGCCUGAAAUCGGAACUGCUGAGUUCAGGACCUGGCACUGGGUUCAGACCGAUCAGUGAUGAAACGAAUGGAACGGCUGGCUUUGAGGAUCAGGACAGAACAAGGCAAUGCAAUUUCGAAUCUCUGUCAAUGAGGAGGUCCCCAGCUCGCAUUAAAAGAUGGCGGCAGUCAUGGAGGCCAUGUGACCUAACCACUGCUUCUGAUGAUGAAUUAUUUGAAGGGAUGCACUGGCAUUAUGUUCAAUCUGAACCAAUGAAGAAGGUGGAACAAACACACCGUGCUCGGAAAGACCAGACCGUGAGGUCUUUUGAAGUGGCUCAACAAAUCUCACAUGAAGAGGAAUCCUUCCACAGUUUGAAGUCCAACGUAGUGUCUGAUAACGAGAGGUUGAGCACAGAGGAAGAGUUUGUGUCUUUUUCUGAACUGCUGAAAAUUCUUGAGAAGUUCAAGUGUUCUUUGGCGGAAGAAAUUCACCAGUCGAUUCUGGAAGAUGUUUUACGAGUCUCUGGAUCUGUUGGUCCCUUUGGCUCGGGCUCUACGUUUGCUGCCACACAUCAUGGGAUGCGUUCGUGAACAUCUUCCACAGGGCUCUGAUUGCCGGAGACUAUAUUCCUUCAAUAUAUACGUGGGUGUCAAGACUCGUUGAAAACAACAAGCUGAAUUGGUGUCCAGCAGGAUGGUGCAGAGAAGCUGCAUAAUCUUGAUUUGAUUGCUGACCCGACUAUAAACUGUUUCACAGGCAAAUCGUUGGAUCAAUGAGUAGGCCAUCAGUUAGAUAGGAUGUUAAUUCAGGGACUCAUCUGCUAUCAGUGGUUGCUGGAGACAGAGAUACCAAGGUGACUUUCGAUGAAGAUUUUGGUGAAUCAUCGCCGGAAUGCUGAACAAAUUCCACAAUCCUGCCAUGACCAGUUGUGGGGCUGCGUGCCAGUCACCCUCUAAUGGUGGCUCUUGAGGCACUUUCAGUUGGGUUGAAGGUCUGGCAAUGUACCUGGAUAUGAUAUUGCUCUGUAUGUGAUUGUUCCACCUUGAUACUUCAACAGACUGAACUGGUCUGGCUCAGAAAUGAUACCCUCCCUCUUUUUGUUUCUCCUCUUAUUCUCAUUUUUCUCAAUUUUAGUUCCCACACUCCCCAAACUGUCUACUUCUCUUAAUGGUCCCAAUUAUCCACACUUUCUCGUGGAGUUGGCCAGAAAACGUUUUUGGCCUACGUCUUUCACCAACCAGAUGCCCAGAUCAAACGUUCAAAUGAAAGUAAUUUUGGCAGGAAUUUGUGAUUUGUUCAGGGUGCUGGAGAUAACUCACCGACUCAUCACGAAAGAUGCUGUUACCUUUAAUGUACACCAACUAGUACUAGCAGAAGGGACACCCAUCUUCAUUUCCAUCCACGGUACAGCAUUCUUUGUGAUACAACCCUCUCCUCCUCCACCUCCUAUCCUUCAUGUGCAGUACACUGCUGCGGGUAGCAUCAUUGGCUGAGGGCGUGACCGUUCCACUGACGCAAUGCCUCUGUUACCAGUACACUGGUACUCGUUUUGUUGACCUUGGAAGGGUGACAGACCAAGUCAACCCUACUUGGUGUUAGUUCAACAGCCCGACAGGGGCUUUAACCCAAGAGCUGAGGAACUUAAGCCAGCCACCUAACCAUUAAACCAACAUCCAAGACCCAGGGAUCUUAAGCCAGCCACCUCACCAUUAAGCCAACACCAGGCUUUGAUAUGUUUGACUGUGAAGCACGAAUCUGACCGUUUCGAAUGGGGUCAGGAAUGAAACCCCGACUGUAUAUGUCAAUGCGAAGUGCACAAUCUCUGCACCAUCCUGUCGGACGAGAUGACCUCAUACACAAAAUUGUUUACUCAAUGUCUGUGAUUCCUAAAGCUUACCUUUCCACACCUUUACAGGUAUUACCCUAAAUGUGCUGAUGAAUCAAAUAUUUGCACCACAUUCCAAGAAUACGAGGUCUGGGUGUGGCUUGUCAAUCAGGAUUGUUCUUGUCGUCAUGGAGAUCGUUUUGAAAUUUGCAUGUAGAUAAUAUAUGAAGUGGCGAAUAGGAAAUGACGAUUAUACAAUUCAGUUAGUAAAUGGUGAAUGUAUUGAUGAUAUUGAACGAUAAUUUUGUGCUGGUGUGGAAAGAGUUGAGAUUUGCAAAUAAUGGAGGCCUUCUGAAAAAAAAAAAACAGGGUUUCUUCAUUUAGCCAAAGACAGUAUUUUGUUACCAAACUCUGACCUUGUACAUGCCUGAUGAAUAAUAGUCAGGAUUUUAUUUUAUUAUCCUGAGUGUUUACCUCGUUUUUGCGAGAAAUAGUCCUUUAAAAUUGCUUCACUAAUUCUGCAAUGAAGUCUUCAAUCCCCUUAUUUUUAACAAACCAAAAAUGGAAAUAAAAGUAUUAUUU